ACCACUCAAGUAGCUUAAACAACUAAAGC
rnacentral:tRNA from 3 species